UACAGAGGGUGCGAGCGUUUAAUCGGAGUUACUGGGCGUAAAGGGCGCGUAGGCGGUGAGAUGGGUGUGAUGUGAAAGCCCCUGGGCUUAACCUAGGAAGUGCAUCGCAAACUAUCUGACUGGAGUAUAUGAGAGGGCGGCGGAAUUUCCGGUGUAGCGGUGAAAUGCGUAGAGAUCGGAAGGAACGUCGAUGGCGAAGGCAGCUGCCUGGCAUAAUACUGACGCUGAGGCGCGAAAAGCGUGGGGGAGCGAACAGG
rnacentral:rRNA from 1 species